UCCCCUGUAGCUCAAUGGUAGAGCGCCCGGCUGUUAACCGGUAGGUUGGUGGUUCGAGUCCACCCGGGGGAGCCA
rnacentral:tRNA from 1 species